rnacentral:rRNA from 1 species
UCCUACGGGGGGCAGCAGUGGGGAAUUUUGGACAAUGGGCGCAAGCCUGAUCCAGCCAUGCCGCGUGCGGGAAGAAGGCCUUCGGGUUGUAAACCGCUUUUGUCAGGGAAGAAACGGUUUGGGCUAAUACCCCGAACUAAUGACGGUACCUGAAGAAUAAGCACCGGCUAACUACGUGCCAGCAGCCGCGGUAAUACGUAGGGUGCAAGCGUUAAUCGGAAUUACUGGGCGUAAAGCGUGCGCAGGCGGCUUUGCAAGACAGAUGUGAAAUCCCCGGGCUCAACCUGGGAACUGCAUUUGUGACUGCAAGGCUGGAGUGCGGCAGAGGGGGAUGGAAUUCCGCGUGUAGCAGUGAAAUGCGUAGAUAUGCGGAGGAACACCGAUGGCGAAGGCAAUCCCCUGGGCCUGCACUGACGCUCAUGCACGAAAGCGUGGGGAGCAAACAGGAUUAGAUACCCUAGUAGUCCGG